rnacentral:misc_RNA from 1 species
UCUCCGUAGGUGAACCUGCGGAGGGAUCAUUACAGAGUUCUCGCCCUCGCGGGUAGAUCUCCCACCCACUGUUAUCGUUACUGUGUUGCUUUGGCGGGCCGCCGGGCCCCGCUCAGCCGCCAGCUCCGGCUGGCGCGCGCCCGCCAGAGGCCCAGCAAACUCUGAAUGUUAGUGUCGUCUGAGUACUAUAUAAUAGUUAAAACUUUCAACAACGGAUCUCUUGGUUCUG